UCGGCGUCCGCAUUGUAAUCUCAAGAAGUGUUUUCCGCUUCGGACCAUGCCUAAGUCCCUUGGAAAAGGGCAUCAUAGAGGGUGAUAAUCCCGUACAUGGCAUGGAGCGCCCGUAGCUUUGUGAUACGCUUUCUACGAGUCGAGUUGUUUGGGAAUGCAGCUCAAAAUGGGUGGUAAAUGCCAUCUAAGGCUAAAUAUUGGGGAGAGACCGAUAGCGAACAAGUACAGUGAUGGAAAGAUGAAAAAAACUUUGAAAAGAGAGUUAAACAGUACGUGAAAUUGCCAAAAGGGAAGGGUAGGAGGUCAGAGAUGCGUCUUGGGAUUCAGCCUUGCUUUUGCAUGGUGUUUUUCCCAAGUUGCAGGCCAACGUCGGUUUUGGGCACUGGAGAAGGGUAGGAGGAACGUGGCACCUCUCGGGGUGUGUUAUAGCCUCCUACUGGAUACAGCGACCGAGACCGAGGAACGCAGCGUACUCGUAAGAGCGGGCCUUUUGGCACCUUUACGCUUAGGGCGUUGGCAUAAUGGCCCUCUACCACCCGUCUU
rnacentral:rRNA from 1 species